rnacentral:tRNA from 1 species
UCCCUUCUGGCUCAGCUGGUAAAGAAUCUGCCUGCAAUGCGGGAGACCUGGGUUCGAUCCCUGGGUUGGGAA